UACGUAGGAUCCGAGCGUUGUCCGGAUUUACUGGGCGUAAAGGGUGCGUAGGCGGCCUGCCAAGUCUCAUGUGAAAUCUCCCGGCUCAACCGGGAGGGGCCAUGGGAAACUGGCAGGCUUGAGUGCAGCAGAGGAGAGCGGAAUUCCCGGAGUAGUGGUGAAAUGCGUAGAUACCGGGAGGAACACCAGUGGCGAAGGCGGCUCUCUGGGCUGUGACUGACGCUGAGGCACGAAAGCGUGGGGAGCAAACAGG
rnacentral:misc_RNA from 1 species